AUUGAACGCUGGCGGCAGGCCUAACACAUGCAAGUCGAACGAGUGGCGGACGGGUGAGUAAUGUCUGGGAAACUGCCUGAUGGAGGGGGAUAACUAAUGGAAACGGUAGCUAAUACCGCAUACCAUCAGAUGUGCCCCGAUGGGAUGAGCGUGUUGGUGGGGUAACGGCUAACCAAGGCGACGAUCCCUCGCUGGUCUGAGAGGAUGACCAGCCACACUGGAACUUGGACACGGUCCAGACUCCGACGGGAGGCAGCAUUGGGGAAUAUUGCACAAGGGGCGCAAGCCUGAUGCAGCCAUGCCGUGUGUAUGAAGAAGGCCUUCGGGUUGUAAAGUACUUUCAGCGGGGAUGCGUUACCCGCAGAAGAAGCACCGGCUAACUCCGUGCCAGCAGCCGCGGUAAUUC
rnacentral:rRNA from 1 species